UUCUUUACUCUGAGUUCGGCGGCGAGUACGACGAUCGACUGUGCUCGAUUUUCCUGUAACGGAUAGCGACUUUAGUCACAUUAAUACAGACGCCCACUAAGAGCCUUUCAAUAGAUCUCUAAUCUCUGGUAUAAAUAGGUUAGUAUUCCUUUUCUAGUUGAUCGCCCUCUCUUCAUCUCUCUACUACUUAUCUCUUUUAUUCUCAACAAUUGCAUGUGGUUCUUCAUUUCUAUGGGAUGAGAAGAAAGGUGAACUUAGGUGGAUUGAUAUGGUUUUGGUGGACUAGAAGUCCACGCUGAUUCAAGCAUCUAUUAGCGUCCACCGGUUGAACACAUUCCAACAACUGCUCAGAGAAAGAUGGACUUUUGAGCUUAGUGUAUUUGGCGUCACGCGGAGUAAUCAGUACUUCAAACUGACCACCGCACCCGUUUUAAUUAGAUUCACGGAACAAACCACCUUCGUCGAGAUAACAGAAUCUUUAUGGUCCGCAGCAAUGACGAACUGAUGUCACUUGCUAACACGAACAUCCACUUACCAGAUGUGUUGGUGGAGUCAAAACCACAUACAAUGAUGAAACACAGACAAUCCAGCUGAUAUGACCUACAUACGUCUUGAACGUACAUUAAGUUACAUAUGGUUCUUGCCAAAACGAAAACACCGUUGGUGUUCUAAGGUCAUGUGUUCUAUACACAACUUAUCAGCUAUCUGAACAGACGAUGCAAUACAUUAUUUAACCCAACAAUCCUAGACUACUUACAAACUAUUACUACUACAGGAACCGGGUGGAGUUUUCAGUCUUUGAUGGGUCAGAGUCAGCUGUCUUUGUGGCAUUUGAUGGUGAGAUGUGUAAGCUAACCAAUGCACAUCUUAUGGUGCAGGACACAGGUGUAGAGGACCACAACCGAAGAUCUCUCCCACAGUGUUUAAAGAACUUGGUUGGCAGUACUUUCACCUUCCAAGGGGUGAUAACAACCCAGGAGAUGACAUGCCCGGAGCUAGAGCAGUGGCUACUAAGCCCUCCAAAACCAUCACCAAAGUUCCCCUGCAAAAUCCGCUAGUUGGGUGCCUGUGGAGAGAUGCAGCUGCUCAAAGAGGCGUCCAUGCAACUGUUGCUGGUGAAGUAACUAAUGAGGAAGAAGGAGUGCAGGAGGAUAG